GAUGAACGAUGGCGGCGUGCCUAAUACAUGCAAGUCGAGCGAACAGACGAGGAGCUUGCUCCUCUGACGUUAGCGGCGGACGGGUGAGUAACACGUGGAUAACCUACCUAUAAGACUGGGAUAACUUCGGGAAACCGGAGCUAAUACCGGAUAACAUGUUGAACCGCAUGGUUCAACAGUGAAAGACGGUCUUGCUGUCACUUAUAGAUGGAUCCGCGCCGCAUUAGCUAGUUGGUAAGGUAACGGCUUACCAAGGCAACGAUGCGUAGCCGACCUGAGAGGGUGAUCGGCCACACUGGAACUGAGACACGGUCCAGACUCCUACGGGAGGCAGCAGUAGGGAAUCUUCCGCAAUGGGCGAAAGCCUGACGGAGCAACGCCGCGUGAGUGAAGAAGGUCUUCGGAUCGUAAAACUCUGUUAUUAGGGAAGAACAAAUGUGUAAGUAACUAUGCACGUCUUGACGGUACCUAAUCAGAAAGCCACGGCUAACUACGUG
rnacentral:rRNA from 1 species